rnacentral:lncRNA from 1 species
AACAAAGGAGGGACACAGGGGGGCUUGGUGGCUCAUGCUCUGGUGAGGUGCGGCAGUACGAUCGAAGGUUCGACAAUAGGUGGCGGCAUCUGAUCGACAGUGAUGGAGCAAGAGAGGGCUGGCGGCAAGCGGCAGGCCAAAAGAAAAUAGAAAAAAAUCAAAAAAAUAGGGGACCGCCUCCUUUCUCUUUGAUUUUCUCUGAUCAUUGGC